rnacentral:rRNA from 1 species
GUCUAUUCUGCCCAUUGAAUAAAUAUUUAAAAGGCCGCAGUAUCCUAACUGUGCAAAGGUAGCAUAAUCAUUAGUUUUUUAAUUGGAGGCUUGUAUGAAUGAUUGGACAAGAGCUAAACUGUCUCUUUUUUAAAAAUUGAAUUUUAUUAUUAAGUGAAAAAGCUUAAAUGAAAAAGAAGGACGAUAAGACCCUAUAAAUCUUUAUAAAAUUUAAUUUUUGAAAAAGAAUAUAUAUUUAAGAUAUUUUAGAAAUUUAAAUUAUUGUGCUGGGGUGGUGUUAAUAUAAAAUAAACUGUUAAUAAAUAAAAACAAAUAUAUUUGAAAAUAAAAGAUCCUUGUUAUGGAUUAAAAGAAAAAGUUACUUUAGGGAUAACAGCAUAAUUUCUUUUGAGAGUUCAAAUCGAAAAAGAAGUUUGUGACCUCGAUGUUGAAUUAAGAAUUCCU